GACGAACGCUGGCGGCGUGCUUAACACAUGCAAGUCGAACGGAAAGGCCCUGCUUGCUGGGUACUCGAGUGGCGAACGGGUGAGUAACACGUGGGUGAUCUGCCCUGCACUUCGGGAUAAGCCUGGGAAACUGGGUCUAAUACCGGAUAGGAGCCAUUUUUAGUGUGAUGGUUGGAGAGUUUUUUCGGUUUCGGAUUAGCUCGCGGCCUAUCCGCUUGUUGGUGGGGUAAUGGCCUACCAAGGCGGCGACGGGUAGCCGGCCUGGGAGGGUGGACGGCCACAGUGGGACUGAGAUACGGCCCCGACUCCGACGGGAGGCAGCGGUGGGGAAGAUUGCGCAAGGGGCGCAAGCCUGAUGCAGCGACGCCGCGUGGGGGAUGACGGCCUUCGGGUUGGAAACGCCUUUCGCUAGGGACGAAGCUUUUUGUGACGGUACCUAGAUAAGAAGCACCGGCUAACUACGUG
rnacentral:rRNA from 1 species